rnacentral:rRNA from 1 species
GGAUGAACGCUGGCGGCGUGCCUAAUCCAUGCAAGUCGAGCGAACAGACGAGGAGCUUGCUCCUCUGACGUUAGCGGCGGACGGGUGAGUAACACGUGGAUAACCUACCUAUACGACUGGGAUAACUUCGGGAAACCGGAGCUAAUACCGGAUAAUAUAUUGAACCGCAUGGUUCAAUAGUGAAAGACGGUUUUGCUGUCACUUAUAGAUGGAUCCGCGCCGCAUUAGCUAGUUGGUAAGGUAACGGCUUACCAAGGCGACGAUGCGUAGCCGACCUGAGAGGGUGAUCGGCCACACUGGAACUGAGACACGGUCCAGACUCCUACGGGAGGCAGCAGUAGGGAAUCUUCCGCAAUGGGCGAAAGCCUGACGGAGCAACGCCGCGUGAGUGAUGAAGGUCUUCGGAUCGUAAAACUCUGUUAUUAGGGAAGAACAAAUGUGUAAGUAACUAUGCACGUCUUGACGGUACCUAAUCAGAAAGCCACGGCUAACUACGUG